AACGAACGCUGGCGGCAUGCCUAACACAUGCAAGUCGAACGAGACCUUCGGGUCUAGUGGCGCACGGGUGCGUAACGCGUGGGAACCUGCCCUUAGGUUCGGAAUAACUCCCCGAAAGGGGUGCUAAUACCGGAUAAUGUCUUCGGACCAAAGAUUUAUCGCCUUUGGAUGGGCCCGCGUUGGAUUAGCUAGUUGGUAGGGUAAAAGCCUACCAAGGCGACGAUCCAUAGCUGGUCUGAGAGGAUGAUCAGCCACACUGGGACUGAGACACGGCCCAGAAUCCUACGGGAGGCAGCAGUGGGGAAUAUUGGACAAUGGGCGAAAGCCUGAUCCAGCAAUGCCGCGUGAGUGAUGAAGGCCUUAGGGUUGUAAAGCUCUUUUGCCCGGGAUGAUAAUGACGGUACCGGGAGAAUAAGCGCCGGCUAACUCCGUG
rnacentral:rRNA from 1 species